AAGUCGUAACAAGGUCUUCGUAGGUGAACCUGCGAAGGGAUCAUUAACACGUUCCAAACCUAUUAUCAACCCAUCUGUGAACUUCUGUUACCGCCGAUGUGGCUAACCACAAGUGCAUGGCGCAUAUGAUCGACUCUAUGAUGUAAGGUAUCUUGGAUUGAGUAUCAACUGCUCGUCUCUGUACCUGGUCUAGUAUGCCUCGUGUUUCUCUCCACUCUCUUUCGAGAGUGAAGUAGAGCAGCUAUCCUUGUAGUUGGUCCGGCCCCUAUAUAUGCGCUUUGGCAGUCGUCAUCUGCUGUC
rnacentral:misc_RNA from 1 species